GAACCUGACUCUUAUGAGCCCACCCCCACCACCUUCACCAGUGAGGCAGCCAUCAUUGUCCUCAUCAAGUUCACACUCAGGCCAAGCCCAUCACAUGGACACCCAGCUGUUGAGCCCACCUCAACCCCUCCCAAUUCACCCCCCUUUGAGGCAGCCAUCAUCAUCCUCAAGAAAUCCAUCUGAACAAGUGGACA